GAGUUUGAUCCUGGCUCAGGAUGAACGCUAGCGGCAGGCCUAACACAUGCCAAGUCGAACGGUAACAGGGAGAAGCUUGCUUUUCCGCUGACGAGUGGCGCACGGGUGCGUAACGCGUAUACAAUCUACCUUUUACAGAGGGAUAGCCCAGAGAAAUUUGGAUUAACACCUCAUAGUAUGUUGAAGUGGCAUCACUACAACAUUAAAAUUUCGGUGGUAAGAGAUGAGUAUGCGUUCUAUUAGCUAGUAGGUAGGGUAAAGGCUUACCUAGGCAACGAUAGAUAGGGGCCCUGAGAGGGGGAUCCCCCACACUGGUACUGAGACACGGACCAGACUCCUACGGGAGGCAGCAGUGAGGAAUAUUGGACAAUGGGCGCAAGCCUGAUCCAGCCAUGCCGCGUGCAGGAAGACUGCCCUAUGGGUUGUAAACUGCUUUUAUACAGGAAGAAACAGCUCUACGUGUAGAGCCUUGACGGUACUGUAAGAAUAAGGAUCGGCUAACUCCGUGCCAGCAGCCGCGGUAAUACGGAGGAUCCAAGCGUUAUCCGGAAUCAUUGGGUUUAAAGGGUCCGUAGGUGGAUAAUUUAGUCAGAGGUGAAAUCCUGCAGCUCAACUGUAGAAUUGCCUUUGAUACUGGUUAUCUUGAGUUAUUAUGAANUAGUUAGAAUAUGUAGUGUAGCGGUGAAAUGCAUAGAUAUUACNUAGAAUACCNAUUGCGAAGGCAGAUUACU
rnacentral:rRNA from 1 species